CAUGCUCUGUGGUGUAACUGACACCCACCCAGUAGUUUGAAUCCUUCUUCAGUCCCCUUUGAGGACUGGAGCUGGACAACCUCCAGACUGUCCACUGUGGGGUCCUCUGAGUCACCUGUCUGAGCCAUCUCCAAGAGUGCCUGUCAGAUUCACCUGUCAGGUCCUGCAGAGCAUCAGUGUCUUUAGUCCCAGCAUGUCCAUCAGCCAUAAAGCAGUCAUCAGUGCUGGACAUGAGAGAGACAUGUGAGACGGGACGGCGCCUGCCGGCCCUGAUUCUGCAUUGAGAGCAGAAGACGUCCUGAUGCUCUGAGGACACUGCUGGGAUCAUCUCAGCUGCAUCGUGUCCAGACCAGAGGUCCUCCAGUCAGUCCCCAUGUGUCCUCUCAGCGGAGCUGCAGACACUCUGACUGAACCAAGAGGAACAAACUUCAGCUCCAGUCCUGACGUGGGCCUGCACUGCAGCGUCUCGAGGAUGGAGUGUUUCCCUCUGCCCUCCACCUUCACCUCAGAGGAGCCUCCAUGCUGAUGGCCUCACUGUGGAGCUGCUGCUGCUGCAAGUCUCUCCUCAUCAAAGUGACGGGACUCUGCAGCGCUGAUGAAGAGGAGGACUGAUUCCUGUUUCCUCCAUCAUGAACAGCUCAACCACACAGCAGGGUUCUGUCUGGGUCUCGUGUUCUCUCUGCCUCUCCCACAACAUGGACAAGAGCUGUGAGAGCAGCAGCCGUCCAGCCAAGGACAGAACAAGCUUCAUCUGGAGGAAACGGCUGGUCUGAGCUGCUGGACAUUUAGAACUC